rnacentral:snRNA from 1 species
GUGCUCGCUUCGGCAGCAUAUAUACUAAAAUUGGAAUGAUACAGAGAAGAUUAGCAUGGCCCCUGCCCAAGGAUGACAUGCAAAUUUGUGAAGCAUUCUAUAUUUUU